GUCAAGAGAGUUGGAAACACCCGAAGGCCCCGUUGAGGGGACGAAGGUGGAGCCAGCGAUAGGGACGAAGUCGUAACAAGGCAUCCGUAGCGGAAGCUGUGGAUGGAUCACCUCCUUU
rnacentral:rRNA from 1 species